CUCUUUCACUGCAAGGCGGCGGCAGGAGAGGUUGUGGUGCUAGUUUCUCUAAGCCAUCCAGUGCCAUCCUCGUCGCUGCAGCGACACACGCUCUCGCCGCCGCCAUGACUGAGCAGAUGACCCUUCGUGGCACCCUCAAGGGCCACAACGGCUGGGUAACCCAGAUCGCUACUACCCCGCAGUUCCCGGACAUGAUCCUCUCCGCCUCUCGAGUGUGGCCGGGGGCCUACGGGCCGGGCGGGGCGGUGAUGACCCCAACAUGCCAUCUGAGUGUCGGUGCUGAAAUCCAGAGGCUGUUUCUGAGCUGCCGCCCGGCCCAAGGCUCGUGGGGAGGCAGGUGGACUCCAGAGGACCUCGUGGCUCAAAUAAGACCAUCAUCAUGUGGAAACUGACCAGGGAUGAGACCAACUAUGGAAUUCCACAGCGUGCUCUGCGGGGUCACUCCCACUUUGUUAGUGAUG
rnacentral:lncRNA from 1 species